CCUACGGGUGGCAGCAGUGGGGAAUAUUGGACAAUGGGCGAAAGCCUGAUCCAGCCAUGCCGCGUGUGUGAAGAAGGCCUUCGGGUUGUAAAGCACUUUCAGUGGGGAAGAAAGCCUUGGGGCUAAUACCCUCGAGGAAGGACAUCACCCACAGAAGAAGCACCGGCUAACUCCGUGCCAGCAGCCGCGGUAAUACGGAGGGUGCGAGCGUUAAUCGGAAUUACUGGGCGUAAAGCGCGCGUAGGCGGUCUGAUAAGCCGGUUGUGAAAGCCCCGGGCUCAACCUGGGAACGGCAUCCGGAACUGUCAGGCUAGAGUGCAGGAGAGGAAGGUAGAAUUCCCGGUGUAGCAGUGAAAUGCGUAGAGAUAGGGAGGAAUACCAGUGGCGAAGGCGGCCUUCUGGACUGACACUGACGCUGAGGUGCGAAAGCGUGGGUAGCAAACAGGAUUAGAUACCCGAGUAGUC
rnacentral:rRNA from 1 species